ACUGGCGCACGUCCAUUUCCCUUCGGCCCGUCGGUUUAUAUAACGCGAACUUGUUACGCGAGUGCGUGUGCGUCGUAUACACCAUUCGUGUGUGCGCGCGCCUCAUCGACCGCGUGCGGCACUGACGUCCACCUUUCGCCCAUUAUAAUGCACGUACGUGCGACCCUCCUCGCGUGUUCCGCCGUUUCAAUGGGUGCCGACGGUCGUUGUUCAGAGCCACGAGAUCGCAACGAAAACGAUUGGGGCGCUUUGUGCUCGCGCGGCGCACGGUAACAUUCGCACGGAAACGUCGCAGGACUCGUCGGGGUAAAAAAUAUAAAAAAAAAAAAAAACUACACGUAUUCGUUUCUAAAUCGUAUCAGUGCACGGUCUCGUGUUUACCAGCACACUGUACGUUUUGAAAUCCGUCCCCGCGCGGAGUAGUCGCUCGAGCGGCUACUACACCGCAGUGCGCGACGCGAUUUGAUCGCGUAUCUCAAUGUCAACGCGCGUUAAAUCGCGACGGUAAAAGUCUACGAAACGCGAUCGAACUGGUCGUAUAAUAACGAUCGUACCCGGAUCGGGUUAUUUCUUGGUUAAAUCAUUUGAAACAUCGCCGUGUGUAGCAGUACGAACGUUUUAAUUAGCUCAACAGAUGUGUGUAACCCUAUUGCGUCCGGUAGUACACUCACGUUAUUCGCGGCGCCGGAAGCAGUAUUCCUGCACCGCCGUACGAGCGCGAAUCCGUGGUGACCGCGUGAUCUCUUCGUCGCCGCGGCGGCGAUGACGUAAAAGCCGAGAACCCGGUGUACGUACAUUGUUGCAGCAAUCGCAUGUACCGGUAACAAUGGUCGUACAAUACCGCGGUAACGCCGGCGGACGAUUGAAAGGGAGAGCGGCGACGGCGACGAAAAACAAAAAUGUCACGCGGAGAAGAAACCCGAACGAAAGUAAACGUCGCGUGAAACGAUUGCGAAACGUGCUCGCGACGUGCACAGAAAACGUCACGUUGUCACCCGCCCGGCACGUCCGUACGCUUUUCGGUCCAUCGUUACGGCCGCCGCUGCCGCCGCGCACGGUUCCCGCUGGUCUUUUGUCUCUCGCUCGUCACCGAACGACAUUGCGCAACAACGGUAGCGCGCCUUUCGCAACGUCGCGACGUCCCGCCGACUUCGGUCGCAACGAUAAUUGUCGUCCGGAAACCCCUCCCGACGUGUCCGUAUCCGCAUCGGGUCCCGUACGGCUGCCCAUUCCUUCGAAGGCGAGACCGCAUCGGAUCCAAGUCCGGAAGCCGGCGGGCACGGACGUAUCGGUUCCCCAAUGACAUUUUCCACUACCGUUCGCACGACCGAAAAUGUUGUUGACGUGCAAAAUAAACGAAUACAAAAUAAAUCGAAAACAAUUAAACUGAUCGAAACUUGUGGUUCGAACUCGAAGGGAACGCUUUUCACACAUUCCGCUCCGGUAUUCUCGCUGCGGAGCUUUAUACACGAGGUCAGCCUGUAUCUGCUUCAAAAUGUCCAUGGAACUGUAAACGUUACGACGAGCAGCCGAGUUAUCGGUGCUUAAUUUGGCGUGCAAAGAUUUGUAGCAGUUCGUGGUCUGAUCGUCUGUACUCGAGGGGGAAGUGUUAGUCGUCAACGUGAUGGGCACGUAAUCGAAAAAUGUAGAGAGUUUCGGUGAGAAUAGCAAUUCGUUAUCGUAACGGGAUGCAAUAUGGUCACUUAAUCGAUGGCAAAGUUACUCAUCCGGACCCGUACGGAGUAAAACUCUUAACGUCUGGUGGGAGCCGAUACGGUACCAUCCUUUCGAAUAAGGUACGACCAGACCAGAUACGAGCUUAGCUCAGUUGGUAUACGUAUCAGCUAUUGUUAAUGUAUUAUCAAUGAAAUAAUUUACUUUUUGUUAUCAUGUAAUUGACACUAACAUGUAAUUAAGAUAUACGUUGUAUACCAUUUUAUGCACAUUAUUUAAGUCACAAAUAUUUCGAAGAAGAUAAAUCUCACUCUCAAAUAAGCACCAAUUUUCGUACCUGUGGACAAUGAACACGGAUAGUAGUGCGAGAACGCUUAGCGUUUUAAAAUAUUGGUUAGUGUAAAUAAGAUUUUUUUUCCGCGAGAACGUUGGAAAAAUAUCUAGCUCGUAUAAUCAACGGUGGAAAAUAUUCCGUUGCAAAAGAUUUAAUUUCUUGUCAUAAAUAUCGUUACUAAUGAGUUGAACCAUAAUAAUUUUAAAAAGAAAAAACUUUACAUCACGUGAUGUACUCGUCGUCACCUGCAGCAUUGAAGUAUUGUUUAAUUUCGCAAUUUCGCAAAUUGACAUUUGGAACUCUACAUUUUGGUUUUUAACCGAAGGUUUGACGAUUAUUUUAUGUUCACUGAAAAAUUUAAAUACGAAAAUAUGUACAAAGUACCUAUUUAGCGUUCUGCACUUCAGAUACGUGUUCAGAAACAUCGAGUGAGUCACAAAUAGCUAUAUUAUUAGACUUCAGGUAUUUUCAAACGCAAUGUGUUCAAUCCGCGUACAACUUCAUUUUGUUGUUCCGCAUUCAUUUCGAAUUCGUAACUUGACUGCACACAUAGCUAGACCUAUAGAAGAUAGUCCAUACCUGCGGGGGUUAAAUACGUACACGCACCAGGCUCCGAUGGGUGCACGGUGUUGCGGCGAUUUUGGUCGGUGCCGGGACACACGCGUCGAUCAGUAGUCGGGAGAAAGUGACCACCGGGUGCAAGUACCGCCACCGACGACGUCGUUUAAUCGCGAUGCCGUGUUUGUACACAUCGCUUUACACUGUAAUAAAACUAAUUACGUGCCCGUCGGGCGUUCGUAUUAUCAACGAACGUACGUGUAAUUAUAAUGUACUGUAUUUUUUUUUUUUAACGUGAUACGCGUCUUAAAGUGUGUUUUGUUUUUUUCUCCAACCGCGGAUCGUCGAAUAACGGAUUUCGUGCACUGUGGCCCUAGUCGACAGCCUCGGUUUCCGUCGGUGCCAUAUUGGACGGGCGUUGACGAUAACGUGCGCGAAACGGGGAACGGCCGCAUGGAAUAAAAAAAAAAAAAUCCUCGGAUGAGCCCGAAAAGCGUGAAAAGCGACGUGCGCGCGCGUCUCACAUUGGGUGGUGGCGAUCAACGGUA